UUCCGGUCCUGAAGGGGCGGGGAGAAGCCGGAAGUCCCGAGGGCUCGGGCGAUAGAGAUGGAGGAGAGUGAGUACGAGUCUGUUCUGUGUGUCAAGCCGGAGGUCCACGUCUACCGCAUCCCGCCGCGGGCCACCAACCGUGGUUACAGGGCCUCAGAAUGGCAACUGGACCAGCCAUCGUGGAGUGGCCGGCUGCGGAUCACUGCGAAAGGGAAGGUGGCCUACAUCAAGCUGGAGGACAGGACCUCUGGGGAGCUCUUCGCACAGGCCCCCGUGGACCAGUUUCCCGGCACCGCAGUGGAGAGUGUGACAGACUCCAGCAGGUACUUCGUCAUCCGAAUUGAAGAUGGAAAUGGGCGACGUGCUUUUAUUGGGCUUGGCUUUGGAGACCGAGGGGACGCCUUUGACUUCAACGUGGCAUUACAGGACCAUUUCAAGUGGGUGAAGCAGCAGUGUGAGUUUGCGAAACAAGCGCAGAACCCAGAUGAAGGCCCCAAGUUGGACCUGGGCUUCAAGGACGGCCAGACCAUCAAGAUCAACAUCGCAGUGGUGCUUUGGGACCCUGAAGUUGGCCAGCUGGCCCCUUGAGAGAAAUGCAGGUCCCUCCAGUGGACUGGUGGCACUGGGAUUCUUUCUCUUGCUUGGAAGAAACUAACAUUUAAUGAGCGUCAGCUGUGGGCCAGGUCAGGAAGUAGAAGACGGAGCCCUUUGGGAGCAUCUGUCCUGCCCUGACUUCCAAUGCCCUGGAUUGGGUCUGUGCUUCACUUCUAACAUGAGGAAGAAGGAAGGAGCAGCUGGUACCCCAAGAGCCAGGCCCACCAGCGCAGGAGGGCUGAGCCUGCUGCCCCCUCCUCCGGGGGGCAAGAGUUCCACUGUCAUCCCUCCCUCUGGAGAGCAGCUGUCUGUGGGGGGCUCUCUGGUUCAGCCAGCAGUUGUUUCUGGUUCAGGAGGUGCCACAGAACUCUGGCCACAAUCUAAGCCUGCUGCCGCUGCCACUGCUGAUAUCUGGGGAGACUUCACCAAAUCCACAGGGUCCCCCUCCAGCCAGUCUCAGCCAGGCACCGGCUGGGUCCAGUUCUGACCUGCACAACCUUUUCCUCAGCCGACUUCUGGGAAGGAGCUGCCUCGUCCUGACCCACGGAAGGUGGCAGAGUGCUCCCUGCCUGGCCCCUGGCCCCUGGCCCCUUGCCUGGCUGGCUUGACAGCCUGAGCACAAGAAGCAGUAAGUUGGCACCUUGCCACACUGUUGGUUGGGCCCAGGUGCUGCUCAGCCAGGAAACGAGAGCAAACACUCCAGGGCCUUUGCAAGCCCAUCGCCCUCCUCACUGGAGACACCCAGACCUGCCUUCCUCCACCAAGAGAUCCUUAUUAAACACAGCCCCCAAAGCACAGAAUGGAUUCAAUUUGUGGCCUGGGUUCAGCUCUGCCUCUGCAGUUGGCAGGUGUCCCAGAUUUGCUGUUGGACAGGGACCUUCUGCACUCCAUCCAUAAUAGCCUUUGGUACCUUCCAGAGGAGUCCUUCCCGAGAGCUGGCAAGUCUUUGAGCUGUAGCUUGAAUGGGCUGUCGGGGGACACUGGAAGGGAGUAAGCAGCUUUUUGAAAAUGUUAAUACAUUACUCUGCUAAUAUGCUGACCUGCACUAAUGCACCCCUGUGAGGGACCCCCCAUGGCGAGGGCCUCUGCCUCUGACACACCCUUCUCGCUGCCCUGAGCCCCGGAGGCAGCCAUGGGAGGCAGCCUGCAUACCUGGAAGCCAGCUGCACAGUGCUGUGGGGAAACAGAAGCGUUACAGACCGGGCCAGGCUGCCUGGCUGCUGCUCCCUCUGGGCUCAUAGCUGGCCCACUUGACGGUCCCUGGUGGCUUCUGGAGGGAAGCUGUACCUCUAGAUACAUUUUUCUUUUCCUUCAGAGACCGUGACAGAGGGAGCUCUGUCAGCCGGAAGUUCAGGCCACCAGACGUAGUGAUUUGUAAGAAAUUACUGUCUCCUCAGUGAACCUCCUAGUUUCUUUAUAGACUUAACCUUCCCUUCAGUUAAAGGGUUUCUUUUUCAGAGGGCCUAGACUGUGCUGACCUUGUGUGACCAGAGAUUUAAAGAUGAAAAAAACAAUAAAUGUGUUUACUUCUGCACCACA